rnacentral:rRNA from 1 species
GGCCUACCAUGGUCGCAACGGGUAACGGGGAAUUAGGGUUCGAUUCCGGAGAGGGAGCCUGAGAAACGGCUACCACAUCCAAGGAAGGCAGCAGGCGCGCAAAUUACCCAAUCCCGACACGGGGAGGUAGUGACAAUACAUAACAAUGCGCGGCUCAUUGAGCCGGGCAAUUGGAAUGAGCACACGGUAAACAGGUUAGCGAGGAACAAUUGGAGGGCAAGUCUGGUGCCAGCAGCCGCGGUAAUUCCAGCUCCAAUAGCGUAUAUUAAAGUUGUUGCAGUUAAAAAGCUCGUAGUUGGAAGUUGGGCACGGCCGGGCGGUCCGCCCUUUGGGCGCGUACUGCUCUCGUAGCGGCGUUUGCGCGUCGCGAGGCUGAGCCUUGUGCCGCGUCCUCUGCAUGAUGCCGCAAGGUGUGGUGCAGCGGGACAGGCAGUUACCUUGAAAAAAUUAGAGUGUUUAAAGCGGGCAUUUUUGCCUGAAUACAUUAGCAUGGAAUAAUAAAAUAGGACGAUGGUUCUAUUUUGUUGGUUUUAGGACCACGUAAUGAUUAAUAGGGAUAGUUGGGGGCAUUAGUAUUCAAUUGUCAGAGGUGAAAUUCUUGGAUUUAUUGAGGACUAACUACUGCGAAAGCAUUUGCCAAGGAUGUUUUCAUUAAUCAAGAACGAAAGUUAGGGGAUCAAAGACGAUUUAUGUACGUCGUAGUCUUAACCAUAAACUAUGCCGACUAGGAAUCAGACAAAGUUCAUUUUUUGACGACUUGUUUGGUACCUUACG